rnacentral:rRNA from 1 species
ACGAACGCUGGCGGCGUGCUUAACACAUGCCAGUCGAACGGAAAGGCCCUGCUUUUGUGGGGUGCUCGAGUGGCGAACGGGUGAGUAACACGUGAGUAACCUGCCCUUGACUUCGGGAUAACUUCAGGAAACUGGGGCUAAUACCGGAUAGGAGCUCCUGCUGCAUGGUGGGGGUUGGAAAGUUUCGGCGGUUGGGGAUGGACUCGCGGCUUAUCAGCUUGUUGGUGGGGUAGUGGCUUACCAAGGCUUUGACGGGUAGCCGGCCUGAGAGGGUGACCGGCCACAUUGGGACUGAGAUACGGCCCAGACUCCUACGGGAGGCAGCAGUGGGGAAUAUUGCACAAUGGGCGGAAGCCUGAUGCAGCAACGCCGCGUGCGGGAUGACGGCCUUCGGGUUGUAAACCGCUUUCGCCUGUGACGAAGCGUGAGUGACGGUAAUGGGUAAAGAAGCACCGGCUAACUACGUG